rnacentral:rRNA from 1 species
UACGUAGGGUGCGAGCGUUGUCCGGAAUUAUUGGGCGUAAAGGGCUCGUAGGCGGUCUGUCACGUCGGGAGUGAAAACUCGGGGCUUAACCCCGAGCCUGCUUCCGAUACGGGCAGACUAGAGGUAUGCAGGGGAGAACGGAAUUCCUGGUGUAGCGGUGAAAUGCGCAGAUAUCAGGAGGAACACCGGUGGCGAAGGCGGUUCUCUGGGCAGUACCUGACGCUGAGGAGCGAAAGUGUGGGGAGCGAACAGG